GGUGCGGCCAUUGGGGAUGGAAGAAAUAAAUGCAUUUUCAUGUGAGAAAGACACGGAUUUCAUGAGUCAGAAGCCGAUUUCUAUGGUUUGACUAUAUCUCUGCAAAACGGAUGCAUGGGAAGACCAAAUCUCGCCACGGUAGCUUUGAGAACUGGGACCUUCAAGAGGGAUUGAACUUCGGUACACAGGAUUGUGUACCCAGCUCCAUUACCUGCUGGACCAUCUUGCUGGCCUGAUCCCAAGUUACUGCUGUUUGAGGAUGGGUGUGUGAGCAGGGAAAACUGAGGAAGUAGCACAUUUUAGGAUGUACCCUUGUCUGGUAUUCAUUACCUCUCUCCUAUAACAGUGAAGAAGGAAGAAUCACAUCAACGUGUGGAGCCCUGGGAGAUGCAGAGGGCUAGAACUGCUGACAUUAAGGUACCCCAAGCUGUGGAAAGAGAGGCCAUCUGGGGCGGACACUGGCAGUUCCACUGAGCCAACGUUAAUUUCUACCUACCCAGUCUCCUCCAUCUCUCUGUUUAUGGAUGGCAGGCGAUCUUCAGAUGACAGAGUCUGGGAAACUGGUCUUGGGAGGGACCUCCUCAGGUGGUGACGAUGUGUUGUUGGCAUUUGGGAUAUUGCUGUGUGUUUUGUCACAUGUUAAGAAGGUGGCCAGACUGUACAAUUUGGGGCUUUGAGGAGGCUUUAUCUUCCACCAGAGUUUAGCUGAGGGAUUUAUGGGAAGCUGCUACCUUGUGAGGUAAGUUACACACAAAUGCCUUGUGAUUUAUACUGGAAAGAUUCCUUGUUGCUCAUUGACAUAAAUCUUAUUACACACUAUCCUUCUCAGAUAGCAAUGUCAACUGAAGAAAUUAUUUAAAAAAAACAAAACAAAACAAGAUAUGAAUGGCCUUCUUUGAGUAAUUUGGGAUGUUAUUAUGCAUUAAAAC